rnacentral:rRNA from 1 species
GACGAACGCUGGCGGCGUGCUUAACACAUGCAAGUCGAACGGAAAGGCCCUGCUUUUGUGGGGUGCUCGAGUGGCGAACGGGUGAGUAACACGUGAGUAACCUGCCCUUGACUUUGGGAUAACUUCAGGAAACUGGGGCUAAUACCGGAUAGGAGCUCCUGCUGCAUGGUGGGGGUUGGAAAGUUUCGGCGGUUGGGGAUGGACUCGCGGCUUAUCAGCUUGUUGGUGGGGUAGUGGCUUACCAAGGCUUUGACGGGUAGCCGGCCUGAGAGGGUGACCGGCCACAUUGGGACUGAGAUACGGCCCAGACUCCUACGGGGGGCAGCAGUGGGGAAUAUUGCACAAUGGGCGGAGGCCUGCUGCGGCAGCGCCGCGUGCGGGAUGACGGCCUUCGGGUUGUAAACCGCUUUCGCCUGUGACGAAGCGUGAGUGACGGUAAUGGGUAAAGAAGCACCGGCUAACUACGUG